GAGCGGGUGGCCUUGGAGCUGGAGGACUUCCUGGUUCUGGUUUGGGAGCGGGUGGCCUUGGAGCUGGAGGACUUCCUGGUUCUGGUUUGGGAGUUGGUGGUCUUGGCACAGGUGGAAUCCCUGGACCUGGAGUUGGUCCUGAAGGAUAUGCUGCAGCCAAAGCAAGAAAAUAUGCUCAGUUUGGACGUCCUGGUGGGACUUUAGGUACAGGAGGAUUGCCAGGUGGAGCAGCCGGUGUUGGACUUGGUGGACUACCUGGUGGAGGUUUUGGGAUUGGUGGACAACCUGGAGGCGGAGUUGGAGGGCUACCUGGAGGUGGACUUGGUGGAUUACCUGG